rnacentral:rRNA from 1 species
GAGCACGUAGGUGGGUUUGUAAGUCAGACGUGAAAGCCUUCUGUUCAACGGAAGAAUUGCAUCUGAAACUACAAACCUUGAGUGUAGGAGGGGAGAAUGGAACUUCUGGUGGAGCGGUGAAAUGCGUAGAUAUCAGAAGGAACGCCGGCGGCGAAAGCGAUUCUCUGGCCUAUUACUGACACUCAGUGUGCGAAAGCUAGGGGAGCAAACGGGAUUAGAUACCCCGGUAGUCCUAGCCGUAAACGAUGGGCACUAAGUAGAGGGAAUUACCGAUGUUCUCUCUGCCGUAGCUAACGCAUUAAGUGCCCCGCCUGGGGAGUACGGCCGCAAGGCUAAAACUCAAAAGAAUUGACGGGGGCUCGCACAAGCGGUGGAGCAUGUGGCUUAAUUCGAUGCAACGCGAAAAACCUUACCGGGGCUUGACAUGGUAGAAGUAGAAACCCGAAAGGGUAACGAACGGUAUCCAGUCCGUGACUAUCACGGGUGUUGCAUGGCUGUCGUCAGCUCGUGUCGUGAGACGUUGGGUUAAGUCCCCUAACGAGCGAAACCCUUGUUUUUAGUUGCCAGCGGGUUGUGCCGGGCACUCUAGAAAGACUGCCGUCGUCAAGACGGAGGAAGGUGGGGAUGACGUCAAGUCAUCAUGGCCCUUAUGCCCCGGGCUGCACACGUGCUACAAUGGCCGGUACAAACGGAAGCGAAGCCGAGAGGUGAAGCGAAUCC